AUAUAUAAUAAACUAAUUUAAAAGUUUUUGGACUCAUUUUUCAAAUAUAUUGUUUAUCAAUUUAUAUAUU
rnacentral:tRNA from 1 species